CAGUCUCCUGUACCUCUCUAUGAAGCCGGGGUCGAUCAAGGAGGGAGCGCGGUCCCGGGGUAGAGGGACUGGGGCCGGCUGAGGGUGAACUGGGGGACCCUGUGGUGGCGCCUGCUGAUAUGGUGGGGGCACUGGAAUGUGCUGUGGCGGCACCUGUUGGUACUGUGGCCGUGGUACCGGAUCGUACCGCGCCUGUGGUGCCGGGUGGUAUCGUGGAGGAACAGGCUCCUGUCGGGGUGGCUCGGGAUCAGCCUGCUGUAGCGGGGGCUCAACCUGCGCUAGCGGAGGAGGUCCCGGUAACUCCCUUCUCUCCUCUUGCCUUCGCUGGGCAGCUGCGAGAGCCUCCACCAUCUC
rnacentral:lncRNA from 1 species